ACCUUACAAGGGAGAGAUGGAAGCUCUCUGGCCCUCCAGCCUGCUGAGAAGGUGACAUUUCCACAGGCUCAGCUCUCUCUGGGCCCAGCUCACUACUCACUGACCUAGGGCCUGAAUUCAACUUUGCUGGCACCUUGAUCUUGGAUUUCUUAGCUUCUAGACUGUAAGCAAUACAUAAGGCCAUCCAGUUGAUGCUACUUGAUCAUAGCAGCUCCAAUGUACAAAGAUACUU